GGAAAUAGGCGUUAAGCCAAAACAUGUUAAUUUUUUGUAUAAUCUUGAAUUACCCCUAUUUAUAUCCCAAUCUUAUUUGCCAAUUGAGGCAGUUCUGUGUUUGUCAUAACACAACUUUUGGGGAAUAUAUUCUUCUAGAAGUACCAAAUCAUAUGUAAUUUGUAAAUCAAAGUUCUUAUUGCCUUAUCCAAUGCAUAGGCCUAUCUAACUAUAAGCUCACUCAUUUUGGUUUUAUAAGCCUCUCACCUACUAAUUUAAAUUUCAGAUUGCAUACUGUAACAUGUCCAAGGAAAAAUAAAGAUUGACAUUUGGGAAAUGGAUUCAAGCUUGAACACAAGUUUAUAGCAUUUAACUAAGCAAGAAAAUUCUCACCACUUACUUUGAUGGCUUUCAUAGACCCUCAAGAAUAUAAUUAGUUAUUAAAAAGUGGGGAAAAA
rnacentral:misc_RNA from 1 species